CUCUCAUAGAGAUGCCUGUCUUAAGGAGCAAGGUCUUCCUUUCCAGCUGAGAUGGAUUAAGCUGCAGAACACCACACCUCUUUAAGGUUUUCAAUUGAGCAAGAAAAGGGAAUAUCUGGCAAGAUCCAAGUGGAUAAGCAGCCGUGUAGCUUUCAAGCAAGUGCAUUCCACAUAUGUCGCUGCCCCUGCUGCCGCCAGAGUGGGGAGAAGAGGACUCUUGAGCUAUGUCCUGCACACAGCUCUGGGCUGGAGUCAUAGUGAGGCUAGUCCUCAGGUGGGAAAUUUAGCCUGCAAAAGAAACAAAGGAUUUCAAAUUUCCUUUAGAGAAUUCCUACUUUUAAUGAGCAUGGAUAUGAUCCUCAUACAGAGAAAAAAAGUUUUGGCAACAUCAAAAUGAUGAUGUGAGGUUUCAGGAUGAUUCAGAUGAAUUGUUUGACUGAAAAAAAAAAGAAGGAAAAUUAGCAAAAAAAUUGAAAGCACAUGAGAUUCUUGCCUUUUGAGAUGAAAAUGAAAUGAUUCAUAAAAGUAUUUUCAGAGUUUGAAAGAGAAGAGACUCAGUAGUUGAAGUAAAUGAUACAAUUUUCAGAACUGUAAACAAAGAAGUUAUUUACAGAGCUCUGUGAAGAAUGCAUUAACACCUUUCUUUUAAGCUCCACGAUGCCAGUCAUUUGUCAAAAUCUGAUCAACAUGGUAUGGUGAGCACUCCUGACAUGACAUCACCAGGGGCAGUAAAAUCUGAUUAUUUAUAAGGGUGAUGGAGUGCUCUGGCAACCAGCUGCUGCAGCUUCAUGUCAAGUACAAGAGAAAUUGUUUGGAAAAGCUCCGAGAAAUACAUAGAGAAACUUCUGCUAGCAUGAACACCUGACAACAUUUAAAACACUUCCCCAAAAGACAAAUGGUUAAAGGAAAACUUCACUGUAGUCAUGUAAUAACAAAGCGGAGAUCUAAGAAGAAAAUGUCUGAAGUCAUCCAUAUAGGUGGAGAAAAUGAACUGCAUUCAAAUGGAAAUAUUGGGAGCAAACAAUUUUCUAACAAGCAAGCUGGUUCUAGCUAAUGCAACCGCAGUCAGCUGAGCUCUCCUGAGGACAGAGGGGAAUGAGUCCCCUCAGUGAGGUGGGGCAAAACAAAAAAGUUCAAAUGGAGGUCAUAGCAACUUUUUGAUACCGCAGUGCAGGUUGCAGCCUGUGUUUGAGAAAAGCACAGCUCAGCAUGGGAAAAAGCGAUGCAAAGGCUGCCCUACACUGCUUUGAUCUUCAGCUGACCAAAUGAUCCCAUCUUGCCCUCCAGCAUAUGGAGCUCUCUGGGAUAUGAUCCCGCAGGCUUUCAUAUUGGCUUGGAGGUAAACUGAAAGCAGAUAGCGGUGUUAUCUAAGAGCUUUAAGGACACUUCCUGACUUCCCACAUGGCGUUACAUCCCUCUCUGCUUCAGUGGUGCUCUCCCCCUUGGCUCCAAGGACAUGAUAGCGACAAUGAGGAAAACAAGGACAUAUUAGAUGCCUGAUGAAAAUAUCAACAGUGCAGUAUGGGCGGAGGGGAGAGCAAAAUCUGUAGAAUGUUGUCCCCUUGUAAAGCUGCAGCAAAAACAAGAAGUUCAAAUGAAGGCUACAGAACAAUUUUUUCUCUUCAGGGGGGUAGCUUGGAGGUAGUGUAAGUGGCAAAAUCCUUUCACCUUAAAAUGAGGGUUUGAUUCCAGCCCAACAUGCACCAGGCUGAUGAGCCUGAAGGAGAGGAUGAAAUUUCCUCUAGCUCAUUGAUCCACUGAGAGUUUUACUUGCCAAGGAAUGAGAAACCCUAGUUAUUCUUUCAAAGGGAUCUGUACUAUUAUGCUGUUUUGAUAUGAAACAGGUUGUAAGUAUGCAAGCUAGCCAAACUUUACUACAGAAAUACUCUUGAUUUCUCUCAAAGGAGAUUAUUUUCCUAAAUGAGGCUCCUAUAAUCACUACAGUAUGAGCAGAAACAAUCAAAUUCUGCCCCUUACACAGCACAGAAUGACAUCGCAGUGGUAAAAUACUACAAUGCGAGCAAUUAUUUUUCAUCAUUACAUUGGCUGUAAUACUCUGUACAUUACAAUGAAUUUGCAGAAAAUAUAGUCGAAAAUUUAAGUUCAAAGAUUAACAUCAGAGUACCAUUUGUUUUGUCCCUGCAGUUUUUGAUUAAUGGAGAUUGUUAAUUCAUACUGCCUCUUGGUUGAUAGUGGAGAGGUUCAUUCAUUCCACUGUCUUGAAUUUAAAUUUAGACUGCUUAUAUGUGUUCAUAUUUUCAAUUUAUAUUAUUACAUCCACUUCUGCUCUAUUCUUUGUUCAUUAGGGACCUCUGAACACCAGCUUGAGGAAGUUCUGUUAAAUGAAUCGCAUGCCCUUUGCAAGAGCUCUUUGAAUGACAUGUGUAAUUAUCAACAAUUAACAAGAUGCUAAUUAUACCUUCAAAUUAUAAUCCUACUGAGCAAAAUAAAAAUCCUUUAUGGAAGAAAAAAUUGUUAAAGACACAACACUAUAUUAAACCAAAUGACAAAAAGUUUGGCAACUUCUAAUGGUAUAAAUCAAACAAACUGCUGAACACAUCACACAGCUUGCCAGAAUGGCUCUCUGCCAAUUAGCUCUUCAGUGCAUAUUCAGUAAGGUGGGGGGAGGGUAAUGUAGAAAAAUGAAGGAGGAAGGGAAUUUAACAGACAUG
ensembl:lncRNA